CUCACUUUCCCCUGUGUGGGAAACUUCCUUGGAGGCAGCUCUUAUUAAUAACAACUAUCUGUCUCUCCUGGAGGGUUGCUGGGAAGCUGGCCUUCUGCUGUGAGCUUCCUAUUUACAUCCUGGUAUGACUGUGAUACGAACCCAGAAGGAAGAGACCCUUACUGCCGCCAUGUGACUAGAAAAGGGAGUCAAGGCCAAAGAUGCACCCCAAGUGCCCCCGAUCUGCCUUCUAAGGCCUUUAUCCUUAUCUUCUGGGACACAGAGUAGGUGUGGCACGUGGGUGGGGCGUUACGGCAUUCAUUUGUCAGGGAUGAUAACUUGCAGGGGCCAUGUCUAGAUGCUUCUGGAAAGGGGAAAGCGAAUAUACUGGCACCCUGGCCCUUCAGCAGGGCCCGCCUGACUCACUGACCGCACUGGACAGAUGACUCAUUCGCCAGCCUUGACCUCAAUGGGUUUGGCCACCCAUGGAGAGUGAAGUCACACCUCCAGUGCCCUGAAGCAUUCUUCUCAGCCAACUCCAAGGCAGUAAUAUCUUCAUGAUCUGAAGCUCUGUAGGCCAAAGGGCAAAAGGAAGGAAUGUUUCUAACUUGGAGGUAAAAACUACAAAAGUUUCUCAGGCAAAGAGUCUGCGAAUGAAGAAAGUUUAAAAAGCCCUUUGAUAGAGCGAGGCUGGAAGCUGGUGCUGGAGGAGACCCAUGCCAGCUUCUAUCCAAACGUUCCUGCCCUGGAUUGUAAAAAACUGCUGUGGCUUCUCGAGAAUCACCAUCCUCAGGAGAGAGACAAUUGAGCACCUGCUACCCACCAGAGACAGACAUCUGUGUCACCGAAUGCCACCGCCUCCCAGCCGUUACCAGACUGUUCCAUUGACCCUUGGUGGCCACCUGGUGUGAUGACCUCACUCUCCCGAUCAGUGGUUGAUGUGACCCAGGACACAGUCCCUGACGCUAAGUAGGGAUCCAAGUUACUAAGCCUGGUGAGGGACCUGGUCUUCAUCAGCAGGCUCCGAGGCCCAUUUUACAUGACAGCACUGGGUCCCGGCUGAGACAAAGAAGCUGGCUCAUUUAACUGUGUAAGGCAGCUAUGAGAAGCAGAAGGGGGAAAGGGGCAUCUUGGGGCUCAGCAUUCCUGAGGCCAGAUGUGCAAGCCUCCUGAGACCAGCUUGGCCCCAGUUGGGCUACACUCACUGCCUCAGACACUGCUGUCCCCUGUCCCUCCUCCCUCCUUCCUCAGCAUCAAAAAGACUCAGGGGUGCUGGCAGCUGUUCUCCAGCAUCUGGUGGAACAUUCUGCCCUAAAGCUGGGCUUUCCUCCCUCCCCAAGGAGAGCUGGUGACUCAUGUUUCCAUUUUCGAUGCAGAGCCAGGCACUGGAUCUUUCCAUGACCCCAACCAAGGACUGGCGGUGUAGUGCUGGAACAUGAAUUAUGAUGUCAGACCUAUCUGAGUUCAAAUCCCCUCCUUGAUGUCUGUUAGCAAUCUGUGUGAUUUUAAGCAGCCUGUUUACUCUGAUUCCCAUUUGCACAUGAAGACCACAACUGUCAAUCACGGUAUCAUUUUGUUUUAGACAAGGUCUCCACUAUGUAGCCUGAGUAAGCUUCCAGUUCUCUCUGUGUGUAUGGUGUGUGCCUGUACACAGGUAUAUGGGAGAGGGGCAUGUACCAUGAGCACACAUGUGAAGGCCAGAGGACAGCCAAUGUCUCUAUCAAUCUCUGACUUAACCCCUUGAGACACCGUCUGUCAUCAACACUGUCACCAUACUUGGACUAGGUUAGUUGGCUUGUCAACAAGCACCAUCAAUCCUUUGUCACCACGAGUCCCCUCCCCCACUGGGGUUAUACGUGCAUUGUACAAAUGCCUACAAAAGCCCCUGGGGCUUUUAUGUAGGUACUGGGAUCUGAACUCAGGUGCAUACUUGUGCACCCACUUGUCCGUCCAUCUCUCCAGCAGUUUCCAGUGCAAUCCUCCUGCCUCAGCCUCCCUGGCGCUGAGUUCAUAGGCGUGUGCACUGCACCAACCUCUCCUCUAUCGCAACUCUGAGAAUGAGCUGUUUCUUCCAACAGUUUUCUCUUUUGACGACUUCUCAUAAUUCAAGCAAAGAGGAAGUUGAGAGUUUCAUGGCCGCCAUGAACGUUCCCUACCCUGUCACAGAGAGUCAGCUUGGUGGUAUUUUUACCCAUGUGAGCUUUUCAGCAGGUUUAAAGAGGCGGGGCUGAGCUGUGAUGCUCCACAGGUCAAGGGUUAUCAAGUGCAUUUUGACUUAAUAUUUUCUAUUACAUUGUAAAUAGAAUACCCAUGUACCAUUUACUACUGCUACAGUGCUAUUGUGAGCACAACUUGUUCUAAACAUAGGAAACCAAGGCCCAGGCAAGUAAAGUAACUUCUCUGAAGUCACACAGCCAGGAAGUGGCAGAGCUGGGUCAUGGCUGGUCUGUCUGACCUCACAGGCCAACACUAUUCUGAUGCUUAGGACAAUGAGAAAGAUGGAGGAGUGAAGUUGGUCCUGAUGCUGGCCUGGAGUGGAUGCUGUGUUGGAGUUUGCUGCUGUUAUUGCUGCUGUCUUCUCAGUUGUUUCUUGUUAUCAUGCUAGGUCUCCACUUUGCCCAUGAUAAGGAGCCAGUGAGGACACAUGUCCUUCAGGCCAAAGCCACAACAGUUGAGAGAUCUGGGCAGGAGAGUCAAGUGGUUUACCCUAACUGCAUUGCUCUCUACCUGCUGAAUGAAUGCUAUUUUCUGAGGCCUGGGGGUACUGACUUUCCAUCUCUGGGCCUUAAUUACAUGUCUACCAGGAGGAGUGCUCAGACUCAGCCCUAAGGUGGAAACAGGCAGGGAGGGGCUGGGAAGAUCAAGGCCUGGGAAACAUUAUCACCCUGACUGACUGCUCUUUUCAAAAGCAAAGAGCCUGCUCUGGGCCCUAGCCCCAGAAGCCAAUAACUGCUACAGCAGAAGCACACGUGAGACCAAGCCAGACUGGAAGGUUCCAGGGGCACCAUGUAGAGUUAUCGGGAAUUACAAACAGCGUGCAGACAAAGCAAUAUGGACAGGUGCAAGAUACUAAAGCUGGCUGGGGCGGCUCACACCAGGAAUCCUAGCAACCGGGAGGCUGAAGCAGAAGUGUCAUUGAAAACAUGAGGCCAGCCUGGGCUACAGAGUGACUCUGUCAACAAAACAAAACAAAACAAAACAAAACAAAACAAAACAAAGCACUCAGAAAAGCAGAAGUCAGAGCUAAGGCACUAAAGAGAGCUGUGACCACAGCAGUGUCCCCACAUGCAACCCACAGCUGGCUUCCUGUCACUCUGCUCCAGACCUUUUCACCUCACCUAGCUCUGCAGUCCCUCCUGCUCCAACACUUGCCCUUGCCCUGCUCUUGUGGAUGAGCUAGCCUCGCCCAUGUUCAGACCACUGUGCUCUUCCCAGCCUGUUUUCCCAGAGACUCUGACCUUCCUGUCCUCAGGGAGCUCAGAAGCCUGCCUCGCAGAAGAGGGAGAGGGAGAGCAGUGCUCACAUUCGCCAAGGUGUCCCUAUGGGCACACAUUAAAUGUUUAGAGAGCCCUUUGUGUGAAGGCUCUGCCACUUGGGCCCAGAAAGAUGUCAUAAGGGGUCCUGCUCUUCUGGAGCAGUGAGGAAUUUCUGAGUUGAUUCUGAGAAUUCCCUUGCUGGGCUUGGGUCCUCCAGGCCACGCCAGGGACCACUCCACCCAGUGUGCAAUGGAUGUGGCUGUUGCCGAGCACUUCAGAGAGUGGGAGACAAAGCUUCAAGCAACUGUAGAGAAAGGAGAGAAAGGCCCCCAGCCAGGAGUCAGUGUCUGUAGGAUUGAAUCUACUUCCAGAUACAGUGCAGGAGUUGAUGGCAUGGGAGUUACAGUCUAUGGGGUCUCAGCUGAUGCCACAACCCACCUAGUGGCCGUAGGGUCUGCAAAUAGCCACCUUCCAGGUUCUGGUGUUGGAACCUGGGGGCCAGGCUCAACUUCUGAUCCCGACCUCUACUUCUGUGUGACAUUGGCUAGGCUCAGUGUGACAGUCUGUAAAGUGGACAUAAUACUGUCUUCCUAGAGUUCUGGUGUGAACAAACCGAAAUGACUCCAGGGCUGCAUGGCCAUCUGUAUCCUUCAGUCUGUGGUGACAACAGAAUAAACGUUAGGGGGAUGGAGGCGGGUCCCAGGGUGCUGUCGCUGUGGAUGACCCAGAGGGAAGCUGGUGAGGGAAGCUGGCGAUGGGGCUCAGCCUUGAAGGAGAUUGAGUUGCUAUACAAGGAAAUGCAAAAAACGUGAAUCAGUUCAAAAGUAAAAAAAAAAAAGUGAAUGAUUCAGAAGGCAUUCCAGAAUAACAAAUAGAGAUUCCAAGCCAAGUGACUCGGUUCCUCAAAAAGAGGACACAGCUCGGUGAAGCUAGAGCCUUAGUCAGGCGGGGGAGGUGGUUACUGGGAAACUUCACCCUGUUCAGCAUUAUUGAGAAGUUGUGGGUUCCUGGAGCCUUAGUGAUGUUACACAGCCUUGCAGGGUGAAGAUUACCCAAACCCUGGGCCAGAGAGUUGAAAAGGAAGUGUUUAGGGCAGGAUCUAUAUUAGAAGAAACAAACAGAAAAAAAAUGCUCCUUAGAAGACAGAGUGGCCACAAGGGAAAGUGGUCAGAUGUGUUGGAGCAUAUGGGGCAGCCGCGCGGGCCAGCCAACAUCUGCCCCAGGGAGGGAGGACUUGGCACAUCUGGGAAGCAGUGAUGGGUUACUCCCAAGGUCUGGAUCUGAUGCAGUCUUUCUGUCCAUUUUGGAAAAAUUCCUCCCAUUUUUUUCCCCACAUGGUGCAGACAUUCCCGUAGAGCAAGGGAGAGGGAGGCUGUACCCAAACUCUGCCACCUGCUUGCUGUGUGACCACCUGCUUCUCUGUGCCUUUGUCUAUCAUCAACAAAUGGUCACCAUGGUAUCUACUUUGUCAUUAUUGCAGUCGAUGUUAGUCCCAGUGCCUGGUCCCUCUGACGACUUCCUGUUGACCAUUAUUAUAGACUUUAGAAUCAAGUAAUUGAAUGCCCCAUUUGGUGCCCUCCCAGUAGAUAUUACAUCACAACAUCUCCACUUAUGUAUAACACUGUGACAAGCCAGUGUUCUUAGAAAAGACAGAAAAAGCCACAAACACACAAAAUCUCAAAAUACGGGACGAGGGAAGUCCCCCUCUACAAUGACUCUUCUGUAUACCAUGUAUGAAUGUGACCCCUACUACCACCUUACCAAGAUCUGGACUUAGCCAGAUAAGCUAUCUGGGGCUUUUCGGGGAACCAGGACUCUGAGAGGUGCCACCACCCAAGAACAGCUCUGGUUCAUUGUUUCAGGCAAGCUGGGGAGGCCUGGAAACUAGAGGUGGGUUUGAGGGAAGGACAUAUGAAGUUGAGGAAGUAGAUGUGAGGCUGGGGAGUGGCUGCUGCCUCUCUGAGGGACUGAAAUGCAAUCUUUCUGCCCAAGGCAUCAAGUCAUAGCUCAGUCUGGCCCUCUUGUUAUCUUUGACAGGCAAUUCCUCGAUUAUCCAUGAAUUUUCUCCUCUUUCCCCAGCUGUGAACAGACUUCCAGAAAGAAGGCAAGUUCAAGAGCGUACAGGUCCAGCCUCCUGACCAGUGCUCAUCUAGUGCGAAAGUGGACCCAGCUGUACCCCAAGAUGUCAGUUCACCCUAAGCUGCCUUGGGGAUUCCACCAAGUGUUUAGAGAAGUAGAGACUGCCCUGAGUCACAGGCCCUAGAGAAUUUGACUCUUUCUAGGCAAGAAGAGCCUUUGGACACGUUAUAGUGUAGGUGGGUCUCGAUCCCUUCCGUCUCAGAAGCUUCUUCUCCUGUCCAUCGUGCGGUGUGUGAGAUCUGUCAUGCUCCCUCUGGCCGAGGAAGAAGCAGCCAUCUGAGGGCAGGUAAUGGGCAACCAGAGUGAACAUAACCACACAGACGUGACAAGAACACAGGUGGCCACACUUCUGGCUGAGUCUGCCUGUCAGCAGAAACUACCCAGGGCUGGGGCUGUCCGGCCUGAGACGUGACAGAACAAACAGAUGUUGGGAGAGCUGGACAGAGGGGUGCAAGCAAAGAGGCCAUCAGAAUCACCAGAGCAAUGAAACAACCAAUUCACAAAAGCCCCCCACGCUGGAUUAAAGAAUUCACUUUGUUUAGUAGCUAAUUGCCAAACCCUAUGUUGGUCCCGGGAACUGCUAGACAUUGGUGACAUUAUGUGGAGUAGGAAAGCCAAGCUCCUUUCCUCAAUGGCAUCUGAAUCCUGGUAGGGAGAGUUGGAGCCAGGUGAUACCUGCUCUGAGAAAUAGAUUUUCUGUUUUAGUGUCCUGUUGGUAGACUAAAAUCUACCAAUUGUACCAUGGAGAUUGGCAAAUGCUAUCAAGCACCCUACCAUUAUCUUGCAUCCAGAGACUGGUCAUUAAUUACUUAUGAGCUUCUUAUUUGUAAGUUUCUUCAUGACCGUGUGAAGACAAAACCAUGGUGACCUAGCAUACUAUAUGGCAAGACACUGAGGUAGACUUUAUGGUGACGCUCUGGGCUUUUCAAGUCUUCUGGAAACUUUUUUAAACACCCUUGGCGUUUUCUUAAUCUUCCUUCCUUCCCAUACAGGUCUCCACCCUCCAUUCUGUGGCCACAGCUAAGAGUCUGAACAUUUGACCUCAAAUCAGUGGGCUAGGCUACUGUCCCCCCACCCCCAGGCCUUCCUCGGGCUCAGAGAAGAGGAACAAGAACACUUUUACAGAAUUGCCAGGAUCUGGAUCAGAGCCUCGAUCCAGCCCUCAGACUGGCAUUAUUUGAAUAGAACAGAGCCUUUCAGAGGUAGGGCAUUCUGAGAGGUCCUCUGCUGUCCGUGGGAGGGGGCUGUGCUCCUGAAGGUGAUGCUGGGGCCUCAGCCAUUUUCUUUCCUCCUUUGGUUUCCUACUACUGUGAGGUGGACAGCUGUGCCCCCAUCAUGCACCUCUGCCAUGAUAUGCUGUGUCACUAUCAUGUGUGGACUAGGAUCUCAGCAAGCCUUUCCUUGUUAGCAAGGUCUUAUACACUCCACAUAUGCUGUCACCCUCAUGGGCUUCCAGGCCACACUCUGAACAAUUGAAACAGAGACGAGAGACUGUAAGUCUAAUCCCUUGGGCAGAUGGGGGAUUCACACAACAAAGAUGCUGCCAGAAUUAUUUCUUGCGUACAUUGGUGUUGCUCCUUUUUGAACAGUUGUUACCCAGGUUCCUCUUGCCCACCUGGCAGGAUUACAACUUUUCUUAUAAGUGGACAGGGGAUUUAAUGACAGACCAGGACUUACUGGUGAUUGGAACCUGGUAAUGUCCCCUUGACCUGCCCCUUAGAGACAUAUUCUUUGAUAUAGGGAUGGGGCUAAUGACUGACUAUCUAAGUCUUCAUUGUCCCUUUUGUCAUGGGAACUGAGACCAACUGGAGGUCCAUCUCGGUGAAGAACACAUCAGCACAGACUCUCAGCAACCCUACAUUACGUUACACAAGUUUCUUUCUGACAGAUUCCAACAAGCCUGGUGAGUGCACACUGCUGCCUUCCAGUCAUGUUGGAGGCAGCGCUCUUUUAGCUAAAUUCUGGUUGGGUAACAUUAUUUCUUAAGCAAAUUAGUAAAUCCUUUAGAGCGUCAAUUUUACUACUUCAGGUUUCUCCUGUGCCAGUACAAAGGCUUUAAGAUACACUGUUUCCAGCACUUACUUCCUGGUUGUACUCACUUCCUCAAUCCGAGCUAAAAAGCUACGUCAUCCCGUCAUCCACUCAGCUUAUGUCACCACUUGCCCCACCCUGCCCCUCCCGUCCACAUCACCAACUCCUAAUCCGAGCAGUUCAGCUUUAGGUGAAAAGAGCCACACUUUCUCUCCCUCAGGCUGCUUCUUUGACCUUUGCCCUUUCCCUGUCCUAUUUCAUACCCUCUGGUUCACUUCCACGAACUGGAAUCAGUGGGUCUGUGCUCCCCCUACACCCCCCGCACCACCCCUGGGGCCAUUUGAAUGUUAAGCUAAGUCAGGUUUUAUACUUUGGUGACAGAAGCAAGGAGGUGAGAUUAUCCAGUGAUUCCCGGGAGCCAGAGGCUUGAAUUCAGAUCCAGCUCUGUACUUCCUGGCUGAGGUAUUGCUGAUACGAGUCAUUUUACUUCCCCGAGCCUCGGGGUCCUUACCGUCAAAAGCGUGGUUCUCGCUCAGCAAUUCUGUGCUGUAAAUUGCUGACGUGUAUAACCCACGGAGUGGGAGCCAAGGCCUGAUAUAGUAAUUAGCCAAGCCAGUUCAUGCGGAACCUAGAGAAGCAAAGCCUCGACUUUAGGCUUCACCCUUCAGGCACCGGGAAGUCAAAGAAGGCUUUUUACCUCAGCAUCAUCAGAUGGUAGAAUUGAGGUGGAAGAGUUGCUCAAGAGACAAGCUGGGCUGGCCGCAGCAGCCAUCUUCCAGUAACUCACCAAAAUGACGAACACAAAGGGAAAGAGGAGAGACACUCAGUGUAUGUUCUCUAGGCCUUUUAGGAAACAUGGAGUUGUUCCUUUGGUCACAUACAUGCGACUCUACAAGAAGGGUGAUAUUGUAGACAUCAAGGGAAUGGACACCAUUCAAAAAGGAAUGCCCCAUGAGUGUUACCAUGGCAAAACCGGAAGAGUCUACAAUGUCACCCAGCAUGCAGUGGGCAUCAUGGUGAACAAGCAUGUCAAGGAAGGGCAAGAUGCUGGCCAAGAGGACCAAUGUGGGGACUGAGCACAUCAAGCACUCGAAGAGCAGAGACAGCUUCCUGAAGUGGGUAAAGGAGAAUGGUCAGAAGAAAAAGGAAGCCAAAGAGAAGGGUACCUGGGUUCUGCUGAAGCGCCAGCCUGCGCUGCCCAGAGGAGCCCCCUUUGUGAGGACUAACGGAAAGGAGCCAGAGCUGCUGAGGCCCAUGCCAUACGGAUUCACGGCUAAUGGACAAAAAGAAAUAAAGGACCCGACUGAAAAAGGAAGAGACAGAGACAGAGAGAGAGAG
rnacentral:sRNA from 1 species